GAUGAACGCUAGCGGCAGGCUUAAUACAUGCAAGUCGAGGGGCAGCAUGACUGUAGCAAUACAGUUGAUGGCGACCGGCAAACGGGUGCGGAACACGUACAGAACCUUCCUUCGAGCGGGGAAUAGCCCAGAGAAAUUUGGAUUAAUACCCCAUAGUACAACGGAGUGGCAUCACUUUGUUGUUAAAGAUUUAUCACUUGAAGAUGGCUGUGCGGCUGAUUAGGUAGUUGUCGGGGUAACGGCCCACCAAGCCAACGAUCUGUAGCUGGUCUGAGAGGACGACCAGCCACACUGGAACUGAGACACGGUCCAGACUCCUACGGGAGGCAGCAGUGGGGAAUUUUGGACAAUGGACGCAAGUCUGCUCCAGCCAUCCCGCGUGCAGGAUGAAGGCCCUCGGGUUGUAAACUGCUUUUGUACGGAACGAAAAGGUUUCUAUUAAUACUAGGAGCUCAUGACGGUACCGUAAGAAUAAGCACCGGCUAACUACGUGCCAGCAGCCGCCGUAACAC
rnacentral:rRNA from 1 species